rnacentral:rRNA from 1 species
CUGCCGGACCUGACUGCUAUCGGAUUGAUACUAAGCCAUGCGAGUCUUUGUAGUAAUACAAGGCAGACGGCUCAGUAACACGUAGUCAACCUACCCUAUGGACAAGAAUAAUCUCGGGAAACUGGGCAUAAUUCUUGAUAGAUCAUAAUGCCUGGAAUGGUUUAUGGUUAAAAUGAUUCGUCGCCAUAGGAUGGGACUGCGGCCUAUCAGCUUGUUGGUGAGGUAAUGGCCCACCAAGGCGAUUACAGGUACGGGCUCUGAGAGGAGAAGCCCGGAGAUGGGUACUGAGACACGGACCCAGGCCCUAUGGGGCGCAGCAGGCGAGAAAACUUUGCAAUGUGCGAAAGCACGACAAGGUUAAUCCGAGUGAUUUCUGCUAAAGAAAUCUUUUGCCAGUCAUAAAACCACUGGUGAAUAAGGGGUGGGCAAGUUCUGGUGUCAGCCGCCGCGGUAAAACCAGCACCUCAAGUGGUCAGGAUGAUUAUUGGGCCUAAAGCAUCCGUAGCCGGCUUUGUUAGUUUUCGGUUAAAUCCAUGUGCUCAACACAUGGGCUGCCGAAAAUACUGCAUAGCUAGGGAGUGGGAGAGGUAGACGGUACUCAGUAGGAAGGGGUAAAAUCCUUUGAUCUAUUGAUGACCACCUGUGGCGAAGGCGGUCUACCAGAACACGUUCGACGGUGAGGGAUGAAAGCUGGGGGAGCAAACCGGAUUAGAUACCCGGGUAGUCCCAGCUGUAAACGAUGCAGACUCGAUGAUGCAUUGGCAUAAUAGCCAGUGCAGUGUCGCAGGGAAGCCGUUAAGUCUGCCGCCUGGGAAGUACGUACGCAAGUAUGAAACUUAAAGGAAUUGGCGGGGGAGCACCACAAGGGGUGAAGCCUGCGGUUCAAU